rnacentral:rRNA from 1 species
UGGGUAACCUGCCUCAUACAGGGGGAGUAACAGUUAGAAAUGACUGCUAAUACCGCAUAAGCGCACGAUACCGCAUGGUAUUGUGUGAAAAACUCCGGUGGUAUGAGAUGGACCCGCGUCUGAUUAGCUGGUUGGCGGGGUAACGGCCCACCAAGGCGACGAUCAGUAGCCGACCUGAGAGGGUGACCGGCCACAUUGGGACUGAGACACAGCCCAAACUCCUACGGGAGGCAGCAUG